GCCUACAUAGUGUAGUGGUUUGAGCAUUGGACUACGACCCUGGAGACUAGGGUUCAAUUCCCUAUUCAGCCA